rnacentral:sRNA from 2 species
UUGUCUUUGUGACAGAUAUGGGUUCAGAAUUUUAAUAAAAGCCCCGCUAGUCCGGGGCUUUUUGUUGUAUUAGACCCUGGAGUCAGCCUAGCUGAGCUAGGUGAUGACAGGUGGGCUUAAGGCCCUUUUUUC